rnacentral:rRNA from 1 species
AAGUAAAAGUCGUAACAAGGUUUCCGUAGGUGAACCUGCGGAAAGGAUCAUUACCGAAUUGUCAAACGGGUUGUUGCUGGUCCUUGAAAGGGGACAUGUGCACGCUCUGUUUACACAUCCACUCACACCUGUGCACCCUCCGUAGUUCUAUGGUCUGGGAGACCUUGUCUUCCUGCCGUGGUUCUACGUCUUUACACACACACUGUAACAAAGUCUUAAGGAAUGUAUGCAGCGUCUAACGCAAUACAAUACAACUUUCAGCAACGGAUCUCUUGGCUCUCGCAUCGAUGAAGAACGCAGCGAAAUGCGAUAAGUAAUGUGAAUUGCAGAAUUCAGUGAAUCAUCGAAUCUUUGAACGCACCUUGCGCCCCUUGGCUAUUCCGAGGGGCAUGCCUGUUUGAGUAUCAUGAACACCUCAACUCUCAUGGUUCGCCGUGAUGAGCUUGGACUCUGGGGGAUUUGCUGGCCUGCGGUCAGCUCCCCUCAAAUGAAUCAGCCUCCCAGUGUUUGGUGGCAUCACGGGUGUGAUAAAUAUCUACGCUCGUGGUUGCCUGCCAGGUAACCUUUGGUGACAAAGGUUUGCUGGAGCUUACAGAUGUCUCUCCUCAGCGAGGACAGCUUUUUGGACGUUCGAUCUCAAAUCAGGUAGGACUACCCGCUGAACUUAAGCAUAUCAAUAAGCGGAGG